CUACAGGCUUCUUUAGAAGCCACAGUUACAAGAUUAUAGAAUAUAU
rfam:Canis lupus familiaris chromosome 34, whole genome shotgun sequence.